rnacentral:rRNA from 1 species
UACGUAGGGCGCAAGCGUUGUCCGGAAUUAUUGGGCGUAAAGAGCUCGUAGGCGGUUUGUCGCGUCUGCUGUGAAAACCUAAGGCUCAACCUUGGGCUUGCAGUGGGUACGGGGCAGACUAGAGUGCGGUAGGGGUGACUGGAAUUCCUGGUGUAGCGGUGAAAUGCGCAGAUAUCAGGGAGGAACACCGGGUGGGCGAAGGCGGGAC